GCCUUCAUGGUGUAGUGGUCAGCACGUUCGACAUGUAAAACCGAGAGGUUCGUGGUUCGAUUCCCGGCGAAGGCG
rnacentral:tRNA from 1 species